rnacentral:rRNA from 1 species
UCCAGACUCCUACGGGAGGCAGCAGUGGGGAAUAUUGCACAAUGGGGGAAACCCUGAUGCAGCGACGCCGCGUGAGUGAAGAAGUAUCUCGGUACGUAAAGCUCUCUCAGCAGGGAAGAAAAAAAGUCUUUGGCUUUGGACGGUACCUGACUAAGAAGCCCCGGCUAACUACGUGCCAGCAGCCGCGGUAAUACGUAGGGGGCAAGCGUUAUCCGGAUUUACUGGGUGGAAAGGGAGCGUAGACGGCAGCGCAAGUCUGAAGUGAAAGGCGGGGGCCCAACCCCCGGACUGCUUUGGAAACUGUGCUGCUGGAGUGCAGGAGAGGCAAGUGGAAUUCCUAGUGUAGCGGUGAAAUGCGUAGAUAUUAGGAGGAACACCAGUGGCGAAGGCGGCUUGCUGGACUGUAACUGACGUUGAGGCUCGAAAGCGUGGGGAGCAAACAGGAUUAGAUACCCUAGUA